ACGUAAAUUAGUAAAUAAUGUAAUUUUACAUUAUAAUGAGAAUUAAAGUAUUAGUAAUUUAUUUUUGUUACUAAAAUUAAAUUCAGUUUGUUCCUGCAUAAAUCUUUUUAGUACUAAACUGCUUUGGAAUGAAUUUUUCUGGGGGACAACAGCAGGAUUAGGGCCGUCUUCUAGAUGCCAUCAGGUAGGUGCGCUAGCGUAGUCGUUUGUUGUAGCAUUAUAUCCCUUUUCCCCCUUUUUAAAAAAUGUUUGUAAGACGCCUGGAAUUUGUAUAAGUUAGUUAUAUAAGUAGUUGAAUAAGAAUUGGUGAGACAUGGAAAGUAGAACAGGACAGAGAAGAUGAAAGAGGAUUGCUUUGAAAUAGAAGGAAAGGAGAUAGAAGAGGUUUGAGGAAAGGAGGAGGAUUUUGUUCGCUGUAACGGAAGUUUUUUGAAUGAAAUUUGGAGCAACUGUAUUAAGGUGUUAUUGGUAUCUUGGACGUCAAGUUUCAUUUAUUUAUGUAUUAUACAAGCAUAUCUAUUGGUGGAAAUGUAGAAUGGCAGCUGUUAUAACAACUUGGAUGAAUUAUUAGAAACACCAAAGAAGUUUUGGCAUAAUUUAAACUGGGAAAAAGCUCACAGAUGAUCAAUUUAUUCUACAGUAGAUACAGGACAUUAAAUUGACUUCAACAACGCAGAUAUCGCUCAAAAAUGAUAUCUGUUCGAGUGAUGUACUGGGCGUUGACAGUUGCUGUUACAAAUCUGCAAAUGAGUUAGAACUGUACAUAAGUUUGAUGAAUGCUGGAGGAAUUUUUUGAAUAAAAUGAUACUGAAAAUCUUACCCACAAAUGACAAUUUCAAGAUACAAUCCGGAAAAUGUAAGCAAUACAAAUUGGUAUUAAUAAGGUAUUAAUGGACGUUUUGACAGCUGUUUCCAGUCCAAGUUCCAGUUUUAAUGGAAAAUCUUUAAUAGACACAGAAAAAUGACAUUCACUGGAUUGACUUCAACACCUGUUGCCUUUUAAUAAUGGUAUACAAUGGGACAAUCGCUGUUAGAAGUCAACAAGUAGUACUAAUUGCAAAUAAUAUAUUAUGGCGGACAUCAAAAAGCUUUAAAUGGAAUGAAACUUGCAGAAAAAGACUCAGAAAGUCCAUUUAGGGCGCAGAAAAAGACUCAGAAAGUCCAUUUAGAACUGUACUUAAUAGCUGUUAGAGUGGAUGCAGUCCUUCAUCAAUGUGAGCUGAAGAAAUUGAUAACGGACAUUUUGACAGCUACUGUCACAACUCAACGAACAAGUUGCAGCUUUGAAGGAACAUAUUUGAUUGGAUACAGAAAAAUGCCAGUCGUUUCAGGAUGUAAAGUUAAUAGAACCAGGGUUGGGCUCGACAUCUCUUACCUUUUAAUAAUGGCAUACGAUAGGACAAUGGCUAUUAGAACCCGAUAAGACAUACUAGCUGCAAAUAAUAUGUAUGGUGGUCAUAAAAGAGAUUUAAAUGAAAUGAGAGAGAGAAGCUCUUGUGGCAGAAGAAAUCAAGGAAAACCAUUUUGAACUGCUGUUACUUAAUAGCUGUUAGAGGGGAUCCAGUUCUUCAUCAAUGGUAUAAGAUGGGAUAAUUGGCUGUUAAAAAUCCACAAGCUGUACUAUCUGCAAAUAUUAUGGUGGACAUCAAAAAGCUUUAAAUGGAAUGAAAUUUGCAGGGAAAGACUGAGAAAGACCAUUGAGGACUGUACUUAAUAGCUGUUAGUGUGGUCGCAGUCCUUCAUCACUGAUAUCUCUGCAUUUUCUUAACAAUGGAUAUCUCAACAGUUGCUCCUACUCCUCACUUUCCUCUUUCACUCAACAUAAAACAGACUCAAUACUCCUCAAUGCCUCACCAAGGUUCGUUAGCUUCAUUAAUAGUGUUAUUGUUUCAAUAAAUUUGUUUACUGGUUUUUAUCCUCUUCUUAACUAUUUAAGUAUAUCAGGCGUCAUAUUAGUGUUAUUGAUUUUUUGUAAAAUUUUGAUAAUCUGGA
rnacentral:lncRNA from 1 species